rnacentral:rRNA from 1 species
GACGUAGGGCGCGAGCGUUGUCCGGAUUUAUUGGGCGUAAAGAGCUCGUAGGCGGUUUGGUAAGUCGGGUGUGAAAUCUCCAGGCUCAACCUGGAGAGGUCACCCGAGACUGCCAUGACUAGAGUCCGGUAGGGGUGUGUGGAAUUCCUGGUGGAGCGGUGAAAUGCGCAGAUAUCAGGAGGAACACCGGUGGUGUAGACGGCUUUCUGGACCGUAACUGACGCUGAGACACGAAAGCGUGGGUAGCAAACAGG